UUUUGUUUUGUUUUUUUUUAUGCCAACUGGCGUGGGGAAAAUGCACAUUCUUUACAGAGAAUGAGUGGUUCUGCAAAUUUCAGGAGUGCAGCUCGAGCUGGAGGCCGUGAAAAAGCAGAUCCAUGAUCUGCUAGAGAAGCAGGCCCAGCUGCGUGAGCAGAGAGCCACGCUGGAAACAUCUCAGGCUAAUGCUCACAAGUCCGAUAUUAGUACGGUGCGACAUUAGUAAUGUCACUCCCACCACCUCUAUUGCCUGUGUUACUGCCUGCACAGGCCCAGUGCACCCAGGAUGCGAUCUUCCCAGGUCUCCUUCACUCUGGCGCUGGGACACCACGGACCUUGGGUGCACCAGCAGCCGAAUCGCGUCUUCAAGCCCCGGUUGAGGACCUCUCCCCCACCGCAGCCUCUGGUCUUCGAGAUCUCCACCCGGAACCGUUUCGCUUCCCUUCGCGAGACACUGUGAUCAUCAGAGACUCCAUCAUUCGGCACGUCCGUGCUACAUUAGCUGAAGAUAAAGUGCACACUCACUGUUUCACUGGUGCAUGUGUCCUCGAUGUUUCUGUGCAGAUACCGGCGAUCCUGAAGGGCGAUGAGAGCAUCGGAGCAGUCAUGCUUCACGUGGGGGGUGAUUGACAUCAAGCUGCGGCAGACGGAGAGACUGAAGAGAGCCUGAUCGAGACAGCAGUACAUCGCCCGUGACAAGGAUCAUUGUGUCAGCACCGCAUCCUACAUUGUGUCUUGAAUAGUGAGGUCAAAAUAUAAGUUUAACCCUCUGGAGUCUGAGGUCAUUUUGGGGCCCUUGAGAUGUUUUGACAUGCCCUGAUAUUUGUGCUUAUUUCAGCUACUAACAUACUAUUUAUUAUUGUUUAGCACGCUAUUAAAAUCUAUUUGUGAACAGAGUAUUAAUAAUAAACAUGGUCUAAACAUUCUUA